rnacentral:rRNA from 1 species
AGUGAACGCUGGCGGUAGGCCUAACACAUGCCAGUCGAACGGCAGCACAGUAAGAGCUUGCUCUUACGGGUGGCGAGUGGCGGACAGGUGAGGAAUACAUCGGAAUCUACUUUUUCGUGGGGGAUAACGUAGGGAAACUUACGCUAAUACCGCAUACGACCUACGGGUGAAAGCAGGGGAUCUUCGGACCUUGCGCGAUUGAAUGAGCCGAUGUCGGAUUAGCUAGUUGGCGGGGUAAAGGCCCACCAAGGCGACGAUCCGUAGCUGGUCUGAGAGGAUGAUCAGUCACACUGGAACUGAGACACGGUCCAGACUCCUACGGGAGGCAGCAGUGGGGAAUAUUGGACAAUGGGCGCAAGCCUGAUCCAGCCAUACCGCGUGGGUGAAGAAGGCCUUCGGGUUGUAAAGCCCUUUUGUUGGGAAAGAAAAGCAGCAGGUUAAUACCCCGCUGUUCUGACGGUACCCAAAGAAUAAGCACCGGCUAACUUCGUG